UCCCUGGUGGUCCAGUGGUUAAGACUCUAUGCUUUCAAUGCAUGGGGCCCGGGUUGGACCCCUGGUUGGGGAA
rfam:TPA: Bos taurus chromosome 28, whole genome shotgun sequence.